UUGGGACUGAUUACAGUGACCUUCUUGGCGCGAGCAGCUUCAAAAAACCGAAAGCGAAAGCACUGCUGAUGUUCGAACAGACUACAACAAGUGGAGUAGAAACGUCAUGCUACUUCGUAUUGACGCUUACCGGAAGUAUGAGCCUUUGCGCAUGCUCAACUUGCUGACAGUUCUAAGCGUUCGUUUGCUAGCAAGAGUUCCAACAGUUCUGACAGUUCUGGCAGUUCCAGUUCUAGAACUGGAACUAGUAUUCGAACGCACCCUUAGUCGUAACGGCAUACGGGUUCUGCAGUACCCGGAUUUACACGAACCUAGUGACUUGGUGUGGGCAAAGAUGAGGGGACACCCUCACUGGCCAGCCCGAGUCGUCAGGAGGCAAAACAACAAGUACGAAGUAUUUUUCUUCGGCAGUCACCAAGAGCAAGAAAUCAUUGACAUAUGAAAAGAACAAAUACAAGUCAAACAGCAGAGGCUUUACGGAGGCAAUAGCUGAAAUUGAGGCCGGGGGUGAUGAGCAUGUUGUGGAGGCCAGGGAUGAUGAUGAUGUAGAUAGAUGACUCUAUCUCACCUGUUUAUGUUCUUUCCUCGACUGUUUUGGUGUUCGGAAAAUACGACAACCUUUACAUUCUUUCAAAAGGAAAAUGAAGGCCUCCAAUGCCACCACCAAGAAGGCCAAAAAGCAACGUUGACGCAUACCUCCUUUCUAUUCAUCGGAGGUUGCUAGUCAGUAUAAUUGAUCUGCGUAAUGUGGAAACUUUAUUCAUUCAACUGAUUUUUCACAUAGAAGCGGCCAACGACAUACACAAAUGAAGUUCUUCAAUUUGAGAAGAAGAUGAAGUGCGUUUGCGGGAAAGAAAAAUUGGGAGUGUGGCAGGUUGGAUGAGCCAUGUCCCAUUCAUUACAUGGCUCAUCCAACCCCAUUUCCACAAACUACAUACGUUAUGCAGAGAAGGAAAGAUCAAGAACUCUUUGAUAGAGGAUUUAAUAUUGGAAUACCCGAAGAAGAUAUAUUAAUGUGAUUGGAUGUCUUGUGGUAUUCUUUAGAGAAAGAGAAUCGUUGUCGUGUUCGAUCGUGAGCACUCUGUCAAUAUUUGACGAUGUAUUUUUGCCAUCAGUGCCUUGUAACGUUUCCCACAGAUCCUCUUGAGGCUCUGUUAAUAAAAUAAAAUAAUCAGUUUUACAACAAAAUUAUCCAGAGCGAAGGAUAAGUGCAUGAGAAACAAAAUUUGUAGAGAUUGGAAAUAUAGCAUACUAAUUACCAUGUGUACAGUUGUGUGUUUGUGUGUGUGUGUGUGUGUGUGUGUGUGUGUGUGUGUGUGUGUCUGUGUGUGUCUGU